ACACUGUCUUAAAAUCUUUACAUCUUAGACGAUUCUUUCCAAGUAUUCUUUUGAGUUUUUUUAACCUAUAAAAGAUAAUGGAAUAUCUUUUAUAGAUUGGAUUUUAUCUUAUCCCUUUCCCUCUCCCGAUUGCACUCAGUUUAAUAGUUGUCAGUUUUUUCUCUCAGUGUUUUUUUGUUACGUGUUGGAUUUAAUUAUAUGGAACCAAAAUAUUCCUCAGGAAAUUAGCUUGCUAAAUAUUCUGUCAUUUUGUGAUUCUGCUUUUGAGAAACAGCUUAAUUACAGAAAUCUAUCU
rnacentral:lncRNA from 1 species